GAUGAACGCUGGCGGCGUGCCUAACACAUGCAAGUCGAACGGGGAUACAUUGGUAGCAAUACUGGUGUAUUCUAGUGGCGGACGGGUGAGUAACGCGUGAGUAACCUACCUUCUAGUGGGGGAUAACAGCUGGAAACAGCUGCUAAUACCGCAUAACGUACAACAGGGGCAUCUCUGUGGUACCAAAGAUUUAUCGCUGGAAGAUGGGCUCGCGUCUGAUUAGCUAGUUGGUAGGGUAAAAGCCUACCAAGGCGAUGAUCAGUAGCCGGGCUGAGAGGUUGACCGGCCACAUUGGGACUGAGACACGGCCCAGACUCCUACGGGAGGCAGCAGUGGGGAAUAUUGGGCAAUGGGGGAAACCCUGACCCAGCAACGCCGCGUGAAGGAAGAAGGCCUUCGGGUUGUAAACGUUACUUUGUACAGGGGACGGAAACGAAAUAGACGGUACCCUCGAAACGAAGCCACGGCUAACUACGUG
rnacentral:rRNA from 1 species